UAUAUAUUUCCUUGGCAGUUACCACCCUCUGAUGGAGUGGAUUUCCUGUCCAAAAAGAAGGUUUUCGACAAAUUCAUGCAUAUACGUAGACUAGAGGAGGAGGUGAUGAUCCUUGCUACAGAAGUAAAGCAGCACUGGGAGUUCAUCAAGAAAAGGGAGCAGACCUUGGGUGCUUUAUCCAUCUGUGCUAAAGAUAGACACACCAGCCUCUCUGAAGAAGGCCUUGAAGGUCUUCAAGGAGAGCUUAAACGAAGAAGGUUCCAGCACCAGUCUCUCCUUGUCACAGUCCGGACUAAAUAUUUGCAAGUGAUACAGGCUGGACUUGAUGGAUCUGUGCAAGAUGCUGAUGAGGGGGAUGACUUGUUUGAUAAAGAAGGGACAGAAAGUGACUUUGACUGCAGCUCAGAUGAAGAUGAUGCUAAUAUGAACUUGAAAGCAAUUUAAGUAAAUGAACAAACUGUUCCAUGAAUAAUGUUGUGGGGUUAUUCUUCUAUAUGUAUGCAUUCCAGACAUUAAACAGAUGUAUGCUGUUCUCUCCCACCUCCUCCACUUUUACCAAAAAGUGACUGGACAAUUGAGUUUAACAGCAGACUGCAAAACAACACGGUCAACAAGAUAACAUAGUUUUUUUUUAUUUUUAGUUUGUAUUUUGUAUUUCUUAGUUAUUAUUGCCAACUUUAAUUAACCAACUUUUGUGAAUUAUAUUUUAUUAUGUUUAUAGAUUUACUGCUGUGUAUAAACGUGACAUGCUUUUUUGACUGUAUAAUAUAAAGUGCUAAAGAUGCCAUAAAGGACAUCUGCCUUUA